UGGGGAAUUUUGGACAAUGGGCGAAAGCCUGAUCCAGCAAUGCCGCGUGUGUGAAGAAGGCCUUCGGGUUGUAAAGCACUUUUGUCCGGAAAGAAAUCCUUGGCUCUAAUACAGUCGGGGGAUGACGGUACCGGAAGAAUAAGCACCGGCUAACUACGUGCCAGCAGCCGCGGUAAUACGUAGGGUGCAAGCGUUAAUCGGAAUUACUGGGCGUAAAGCGUGCGCAGGCGGUUUGCUAAGACCGAUGUGAAAUCCCCGGGCUCAACCUGGGAACUGCAUUGGUGACUGGCAGGCUAGAGUAUGGCAGAGGGGGGUAGAAUUCCACGUGUAGCAGUGAAAUGCGUAGAGAUGUGGAGGAAUACCGAUGGCGAAGGCAGCCCCCUGGGCAAUACUGACGCUCAUGCACGAAAGCGUGGGGAGCAAACAGGAUUAGAUACCCUGGUAGUCCACGCCCUAAACGAUGUCAACUAGUUGUUGGGGAUUCAUUUCCUAGUAACGUAGCUAACGCGUGAAGUUGACCGCCUGGGGAGUACGGUCGCAAGAUUAAAACUUAAAGGAAUUGACGGGGUCAUAGCUG
rnacentral:rRNA from 1 species